rnacentral:rRNA from 1 species
UGGGGAAUAUUGCACAAUGGGCGCAAGCCUGAUGUAGCCAUGCCGCGUGUAUGAAGAAGGCCUUCGGGUUGUAAAGUACUUUCAGCGGGGAGGAAGGGAGUAAAGUUAAUACCUUUGCUCAUUGACGUUACCCGCAGAAGAAGCACCGGCUAACUCCGUGCCAGCAGCCGCGGUAAUACGGAGGGUGCAAGCGUUAAUCGGAAUUACUGGGCGUAAAGCGCACGCAGGCGGUCUGUCAAGUCGGAUGUGAAAUCCCCGGGCUCAACCUGGGAACUGCAUUCGAAACUGGCAGGCUAGAGUCUUGUAGAGGGGGGUAGAAUUCCAGGUGUAGCGGUGAAAUGCGUAGAGAUCUGGAGGAAUACCGGUGGCGAAGGCGGCCCCCUGGACAAAGACUGACGCUCAGGUGCGAAAGCGUGGGGAGCAAACAGG